rnacentral:rRNA from 1 species
GAUGAGCCCGCGGCCUAUCAGCUAGUUGGUGGGGUAAUGGCCUACCAAGGCGACGACGGGUAGCCGGCCUGAGAGGGCGACCGGCCACACUGGGACUGAGACACGGCCCAGACUCCUACGGGAGGCAGCAGUGGGGAAUAUUGCGCAAUGGGCGAAAGCCUGACGCAGCAACACCGCGUGAGGGAUGACGGCCUUCGGGUUGUAAACCUCUUUCAGCUCCGACGAAGCGAAAGUGACGGUAGGAGCAGAAGAAGCACCGGCUAACUACGUGCCAGCAGCCGCGGUAAUACGUAGGGUGCAAGCGUUGUCCGGAAUUAUUGGGCGUAAAGAGCUCGUAGGCGGUCCGUUGCGUCUGCCGUGAAAACCCGGAGCUCAACUCCGGGCCUGCGGUGGAUACGGGCGGACUAGAGUCCGGUAGGGGAGACUGGAAUUCCUGGUGUAGCGGUGGAAUGCGCAGAUAUCAGGAGGAACACCGGUGGCGAAGGCGGGUCUCUGGGCCGGAACUGACGCUGAGGAGCGAAAGCGUGGGGAGCGAACAGGAUUAGAUACCCUGGUAGUCCACGCCGUAAACGGUGGGCGCUAGGUGUGGGGAUCGUUUCCACGAUCUCCGUGCCGCAGCUAACGCAUUAAGCGCCCCGCCUGGGGAGUACGGCCCGCAAGGCUAAAACUCAAAGGAAUUGAACGGGGCCC